GAUGAAGAACGCAGCGAAAUGCGAUAAGUAAUGUGAAUUGCAGAAUUCAGUGAAUCAUCGAAUCUUUGAACGCAUCUUGCGCUCCUUGGUAGUCCGAGGAGCAUGCCUGUUUGAGUGUCAUUAAAGUUCUCAACCACAUUACUACAUAUGUGGCUUGGAUGUGGGGGUUUGCAGGCUUUCUCUGAGGGUCUGCUCCUCUGAAAUGCAUUAGUGGUAUUCCUGAGCUUUACUACAGAUGUGAUAAUUUAUCUACAUCCCAAAAGUAAGCUUCAGCAACACCGCUCCUAACAAGCGAAAGCACAUUUUGAUGAAUUUGACCUCAAAUCAGGUAGGACUACCCGCUGAACUUAAGCAUAUCAAUAAGCGGAGGA
rnacentral:misc_RNA from 1 species